rnacentral:misc_RNA from 1 species
AAGUCGUAACAAGGUCUCCGUAGGUGAACCUGCGGAGGGAUCAUUAUUGGAUACAAAACCUUAUAAAGAGUUUUUGGCGUGUUUCUCGCUUGUAAAAGAGAGGGAUGCGCCAUACUCUUUCAAACAAACGAUCACAACUACACUAGAGUGUCAAUGACAAACAGGAAGUCGAGGGAGUUUGUGCUGUAAAAGUGUUUGCCUGAUAAUACAAUUGAUUUGGACAAAACAAUAUACAACUUUCAACAACGGAUCUCUUGGCUCUCA